UCUCCCGUCGUAUAGCGGAUUAAUUACGCACACACCCGAUGAACUGUGCUCAAUGUAUUCUGUGUGAGAUCUGGGUUCGAAUCCCAGCGGGAGAA